rnacentral:lncRNA from 1 species
AAGCAUUGAUGCAAUAGUUUUAAAAGGAACCGACUUUUAAUUAUUACUUUUAGCCAAAUCAGAAAACAAGUGCAGGUACGUAGCAGAUAUGGUCGACACCAAUAGUUGCGCAGGAAGUUGGAACCGUGACCAAGAUGCUUAAUUAAGAAUAAAAAAAGAAAAGAAGCGGUCGUUUUGCACACUGGGAAGUGGGAGUAGGAUACGCUGGCCGCCUUUAGACUUGGGAAAGCAUUCGAGCCGAGUUGUCACAGACAGCAACACUCGCGUUGGCUCGCGACAAAAGAACAUGCUGCAAGAGGAAGGUUGUCGACAACAGAAAACCAUCCAACACGAGACAAUGACACAACCAAAAGACCGAUCUUCUGAAAAAAGACUGGACGCAUUUCUUCAAAAAAAAAAGGAC